UUAAGCGUUAUUUAUAUUAGUUAAAUAAGAAAUAAAAUCUUCCAAAUGAUAAACUGUAGGAGAAAUCAGGGUAGUUGUAAAAAUUAAAAUUGUGAUUUUGUAACAAAAUUUUUUAUCAUUUUAGUGAAGAAAGGUAUGCAAAGUAUUUUAAUAAAAUAUGUAUUAGACAAUUUGUAAUAUAACAAGUAAUAUAAAGAAUAACAACAAUUGAAUAAUGUAUUCAUGUAAAUUUAAAAAAAAAAUUUUAGUCGUAGCGCAAACGCUUGAAUUAUUUUAUUAUUUAAUUUAAUUUAAUUAUUUUUUUAAAAAAAUGCAAAUCAUUCUCAGAGUUAAUCAAAAUUUAAUCAUCGAAUCAUCCAUUGCAAUAAAAAUUAACAUUGUAAUAUAAUCUUGUCGACCGAGCUAUGUUAUUGUCACAUCAUUCAUUUUACAAUGACAAUCUAACAAAAAUUAAAAAUAUUCUAAAAAAUAACGAUUACCCACAUAAAUUUAUUAAAAAACAUACCAAAAUUCAGUUAAUUUAAUUCCGUAAAAAAAUAUGAAUAAUAAUAUUAUAAAUUCACGAACUCUUUUAAAUUAACAAAUUCCUAAAGUUUAGUUUACCGAUCGUUCAUUAGAAGCACGUAUUAGAAUUAAAUCAUGAGUUUAAUUGGGAUUAUAUUGUUAUAUUGGACCGAGAACCAAACUAUAAAAAACGUUGUUUUUCAGAAAUGUUACAUAUAAAAAUUAACGAUUUUACUAUUAACAAAAAAAAAGAUAUAAUGUAUUUUAAUAAAAUUUACUUCCCUUUAAUUUUUCAAAUUAGACUCAUGAUUUUAUUUUUCUAGAUAUAUUUCACUACCACGUGCUAACAACGAAGUUUAUUAACAAUUUAGUAACAUAAAUCUCUGUUAUUGUAUUCCUUACUUUACAAAUUUAAUUACGUGUGUCUUAUAAAUAAUUUUUUGCAACACCUUUACAGUUAAAUCAUUAAAAAAAAAUUGAAUUAGAAUUAUGUAUUUGAAUAUUUAAGUGAAUUUUACAGAAAGAAUGAAUAAUUUAAUAUCACUUUGCUUUCUUAUACGAGUGUGUAAAGUAAUUUACUUUACUAUUGUAAAUGAAGUAAAAUACAAUUGUAGAAGUUAAUGUUGCAAAAAAUUUUUUAUUAAUCUACGUAGGUAAUUUUGGAAGUCUCUGAUUCUUGGGGUAAUUAAAUAUAAUAGAAAUUAUUCUUAUAAUUAUUUUGUGUAAUUUACAAAUUGUCGACGUAAUAAAUAUUUGUAAUUCCGGAUUUCUUUUUCUAAACUAUCAAUAUAAUUAUUAUAUUUAUUAUAUAUAUUGUAAUCAUUAAAAUCGAACAAUUUUUUACUUACCUGCAUCUGUGUGAUCUGAAUUAACAUAAGUAAUUAGAUUUAAUUUCCGAAAACUAGAAAAGAGCGCUCUCAAAUUUGAAAUAAAUGUUACCAACUGGAUGAUACUUCAACAAAUAAUAAUUGUUAUUAUAAAUAAUUUAGAAAAAUUCACUUUUACUGUUGUGUGAAUCUUUGGAAUUUUCGACUGUUUCUUCAAUAUUUGUAAUUGAGAUUUUUUUUGUACAUCUAAUGUAUGAAAUUAUAAUGUUAUCUUUGUAUCGAAUGAUUGUAAUUUGGAAUAUUUUCACUUGACAAUCACUCCAGAUUAAAAUACUAACUGUAUUUUAUAAAUAUCAAAAUUAUAAAUACAAAUAGAAGUCCAUGGAUUACCAAGUAGUCAAAUAUGCCAAACAAUUUCUUCAAUUAAUUGUUAAUGGUCACUCAUUGAUUGCUUUUGGCUUCCUGUGCUGACAAUGGCUAUAAAAUUACUCCAAUCAUUAAUAACAACUGGCCAACUGCAGUGAAAAUCAAGCUCAUAAUUACUGGCAUUAAUCUGGAAUUAAGCUUGGAUUAUCAAGAAUUUCUGGGGUACAAAAAAAGUGAGUUCCUUGCCUAUUGGAAUUAUAAUAACCCCAAUUGGCAGACGUGGACAAACUAACUUUGGGAUCAAGUUUGGACUAUCGAGAAUUUCUGGAGUUUAAUUAAGAAAAUUCCUCACUUGGAAAAUGGAUAUUGAUGAAUUAAUGCUGUUUCUCUAUAUCAAAUAAAAUAUUUGGUUACUUCAAAUAGAUUGUACUCCUAGGAAUCUCAAUUACUCUCUAGUUAAAUAAUUGCUAUAAAGUGCUUCAGUUGAUUUAUUUUGUCAUAUCUAUCUUGUAAGAAAAUUAUAAAGAAUUUAGAAUAAGUUAGCGCUUUAUGCGAACGGACAGGAUUAAAUUAUUAUUUCUUUAUCAAUAGUUUAGCAUUAAAUAGAAUUAAUUUUAAUUUUAUUGAUAAUUUACUCUUUCUCUACAGAUUCAUUUUUUAAUUCAGUUUUAAAUAUGUCCAUCAUUAUUCGGAAUAUGUUUUUCAGUUUGUAAAACGUCUUCGAAAUCGAAAUUACACUUUUGUUUUAUAUAUUCCUCUUUGCUGAAAUAAUUACAGUUCAUAUUGAAUUAUUAUUAUCAAUAGAAUCUAUAGAGAGAGAGAAAGAUAUGAAUCCAUUUUAAUGACUGACUUUAUGAGACUUCCAAAAUAUUAUAAAACGUUUGCGUAGAAUUAUACUUAAGUAAGGUAAAGGACACUAUACUCGAUUAGUAGUUUUUAUAUUUUUUAUUUACGCAAAUCAAUUUGUACUGAUUUGUAUAAUGGAAUAUAAUUAAUUGUUUGAUUAAAUUUAUAUGCAGUUAAUAUAAUAUAAAUCAAAAUAUUUAUUUUUUAUUGUUAUUUUAUCAAAUCGACUAUUUAGUCCGUUAUCAUGGUUUUAAAUUAUAAUAUUAAAUAUAUUGUAAGGGUCCUAGAGCCU